UCCCUGAUUUACUCCAAGGUCUUGCUCCUUCCAACGACACGAAUAUAGAGUACAUUGCAGAGAACUCCAGAGAUGAAAUAUAAUAACUUUAGCUUCCAUUUCAGGGAUUCCGGUGAUAUAUAUUUAUUCUGGUAAAAGAAUUUGAGAGAUGAAAUGAAAAUAAAUUAGUUGCAGUUCUUUCCCUGCCAUGAUAUGAAUAAUUUUCCAGUAAAAGCAACAAUCACAAUUCUGUAGUAUUUAUCAGGAAAUAAUGUGAACAGAGAUUCAAGCCUCUAAACAUUAUCUUCCACUGAAUCUCCUCUUAUAUUGAUCUUACAUUACUACAGAUAUUACUCACCUCAACUCUAUAUCUUAAAAUAAGCCACCACAUUUCCAACUAAAUCCUUGUGUCUUCGCCUGCUAAGAAUUUUUUUUGUUUUCUAUCUCUUGAAACACUUAUCUCA
rnacentral:lncRNA from 1 species